rnacentral:rRNA from 1 species
UCGUAGAGGGUGACUGCGGAGGGAUCAUUACACAAAUAUGAAGGCGGGCUGGAACCUCUCGGGGUUACAGCCUUGCUGAAUUAUUCACCCUUGUCUUUUGCGUACUUCUUGUUUCCUUGGUGGGUUCGCCCACCACUAGGACAAACAUAAACCUUUUGUAAUUGCAAUCAGCGUCAGUAACAAAUUAAUAAUUACAACUUUCAACAACGGAUCUCUUGGUUCUGGCAUCGAUGAAGAACGCAGCGAAAUGCGAUAAGUAGUGUGAAUUGCAGAAUUCAGUGAAUCAUCGAAUCUUUGAACGCACAUUGCGCCCUUUGGUAUUCCAAAGGGCAUGCCUGUUCGAGCGUCAUUUGUACCCUCAAGCUUUGCUUGGUGUUGGGCGUCUUGUCUCUAGCUUUGCUGGAGACUCGCCUUAAAGUAAUUGGCAGCCGGCCUACUGGUUUCGGAGCGCAGCACAAGUCGCACUCUCUAUCAGCAAAGGUCUAGCAUCCAUUAAGCCUUUUUUUCAACUUUUGACCUCGGAUCAGGUAGGGAUACCCGCUGAACUUAAGCAUAUCAAAA